rnacentral:tRNA from 1 species
GUUUCAAUGGUGUAAUGGUUAGCACUCUGGACUCUAAAUCCAGCGAUCCCAGUUCAUAUCUUCAAAUCUCGGUGGGACA